UGAACUUACUUGAAAUGAGACUGGAACAACAUAAAUUGAAAUGGAGAAUUGGUAGAAACACAGGUAGAUCUGGAACAAAGGAACAUCAAAUGUAGAUGAAAACAUUGAACAAAGUGGUUCUGAAAAGUUACAUGUAAUGACUCUGAAAGUCCUGGGGGUAGUUCCACAGCAACUUUUCCAAAGAUCAAGAUACUUGGAUUCCUGUGUUAUGUCAGCCUGGAGGAUUCCUAACACUGUCUCCCAGAACAGGCUAAUGACCAGAAGCCAGAUGAUGGAUUGGAGGCAGCAGACAUGGUGGGUUCCCUUUUCCGUUUUGCAUCAUCCCAUGCUCUGUAACCAGAUAGGUAUAUGCCUAACAGUAAGCAUAGAUUCAGCACAGAAGACAAGUUUCAACAAAAUACCCUAUUGUUUGGAAGCUGUUCUAGCUGAUAGCACUACUUCAGGUGCACUUAAUCUUAAGUCCCCAGAGGCCCUAAUAGGAAUGAUGAGCUGA
rnacentral:lncRNA from 1 species